UUAGUUGCUACAUUCAUUGGGCACUCUAAUGAGACUGCCGGUGGACAAACCGGAGGAAGUGGGGAUGACGUCAAGUCCUCAUGGCCCUUAUAGGUGGGGCUACACACGUCAUACAAUGGAUGGUACAAAGGGUCGCCAACCCGCGAGGGGGGAGCCAAUCCCAUAAAGCCAUUCGUAGUCCGGAUCGCAGUCUGCAACUCGACUGCGUGAAGUCGGAAUCGCUAGUAAUCGUGGAUCAGAAUGUCACGGUGAAUACGUUCCCGGGUCUU
rnacentral:rRNA from 1 species